CGUAGGUGGCAAGCGUUGUCCGGAUUUAUUGGGUUUAAAGGGUGCGUAGGCGGCCCCGUAAGUCAGUGCUGAAAUAUCCCGGCUUAACCGGGAGGGUGGCAUUGAUACUGCGGGGCUUGAGUACAGAUGAAGCAGGCGGAAUUGACGGUGUAGCGGUGAAAUGCAUAGAUAUCGUCAAGAACACCGAUAGCGAAGGCAGCUUGCUAAGCUGUAACUGACGCUGAGGCACGAAAGUGUGGGAUCAAACAGGAUU
rnacentral:rRNA from 1 species